GUGUGCCGCUCUCAGAGGCCCCGAGGGGAGCAGGGGCGCCGGCCUCUGUGCCUCUUCCUGCUUGUUUCCCGCUGCAAAAACACCUCUCUCUCUCUCUCUCUCUCUUUCUCUCUCUCUCAAACACACACACACACACCCAAGGCAUACUUGCCUCCCCUUAUCCGAAUAACAAAGCAAAUAUUAACCCUCCUCCCACCACUUUGGGCAAAUCCCCGGGGAGGUUUGCUCUCCUUGGCACCAGGAGGGUUGGGGAAAGCACCUUCUAGGGGUGAUCCAUGGGGGGCGAGAGUGCAAGGACGAGCCCUUGUUUUUUGUAGGCUCCAGGCAGGUCCGGAGCGAAGCGGCUGGGAAGCCCAGCAGGAGACCCGGCUCGCCCCACCCGCGAUGGUGACUGGAGGAGGCUCCUCUAGGAGUCCUGGCUGCACCUCCAAGAUCUGCCUUCAGGAGAGACGCGGCCGGGGUGGACACGGCGGGAGGUGCAUUCUCAGACCUGGGGACGUUCCACUGCACAAGGACAGCGAGGGUGCUAGUUGGGGAACGCAUAGCCACCGAUCCCAGGCGCCGGGCCAAGUCGCCCGCUGAACGUCUUCUACUGGAGGCGAAUUCGGGCGCAGCGACGGGGGGCAGGGGCAACUAAGUUAUCCGGUUAAGAAACGUGCACUCGCACUGGACUCUGCUAACUGCUGACGACGGACUCCGCUUCUUGCCUGAGAGGGAGGAAGCACGAACGUUCUGUAUGUAACGAAAUGAGGACGACUGUUUCAAAGCUACUCAAAUAUUGUUGUGUUAAAGAGUAUUUACACUGAUCUCAUUGUAUCAUUUAGCUUCAAAGCUCAAAAUUCUGCUUUACUUAGAUAAGAGCUUGAAGUCCAAAUCUACACAAGUCAGAACCUAUGCAAGAAAAGCACCAUCGGUAGAAAUGAAUACACUUUGAAUGCCAUGGACCACCCUGUCUUCAGAGCAUGUCUGUUUGCUGACAUAGUUGGCUCCCUCAUAGCCCUUUAAAAAAUUGUCACGUAAAAAUGUGGGCGUUGCUGAAGGUUUUUAUUAAAAC
rnacentral:lncRNA from 1 species